AAAAAUGUACUGCAACAAUUCGUCAAUUGGCAUAUGGUUGUGCGUCUGACUCAGUUGACGAGUAUGUACGAAUUGGUGGUUCAACGGCUCGGGAAUGUUUGUACGAGUUUACCGCCGGAAUAAUCGCUGUGUUUGGCGGAGAAUACUUAAGACGUCCCACACCGGAUGACCUAGAACGACUACUCUAUCAUAAUGAACAGCGUGGAUUUCCCAGGAUGGUUGGGAGCAUUGACUGCAUGCAUUGGGGGUGGAAGAAUUGUCCCACAGCUUGGAAAGGGAUGUAUUCACGAUCAACCGGAAAACCUACAAUCGUGUUGGAGGCGGUAGCCUCGUAUGACCUCUGGAUAUGGCAUGCUUUUUUUGGAGCUCCAGGUACUAUGAACGAUCUUAAUAUUCUUGAUCGAUCUAAUGUUUUUGAUGACAUUCUUAACGGUAAAGCUCCGGAAGUCAACUUUUUUGUCAACGGAAGGGAGUACAAUUUGGCGUACUAUCUCACGGAUGGUAUUUAUCCAAAAUGGGCCACUUUUAUACCAUCUGUCCGGCUUCCACAAGGUAUGAAAAAUUCUCUUUUCUAGAAAACAAGAAGCUGUGCGGAAAGAUGUUGAGCGUGCCUUUGGAGUCUUGCAAGCUAGAUUCGCCGUUGUUAAAAAUCCAUCUCCUUUAUGGGAUAAAUACAAAAUAGCAAAUGUUAUGAGAGCAUGCAUAAUACUCCAUAAUAUGAUUGUCGAGGACGAACGAGGUACAUACAGUUACAGAAACAUUGUUUCUGAAUUUCAACACGGAGAAAAUGUGGAUCAAACAUAUACCUUCGGUGCCGCCAGUUUGGGUUCAAAUAUCAGCAGUACGAUUACUCGUCGAACAAGAAUUCGGGAUAAACAAGCCCAUCAACAGUUAAAAGAAGAUUUGGUUGAGCAUAUUUGGACUAACUUUGGACAUCUUCCAGAUAAUGAAGAUUAAUUAUUAAAUUUCUAUGAAUUGAAUAAAAUGUUUGUUUUUAUUUUUAAUGUUAGCAUGUUUUAUGUUUUUCAUUUUAAUUGUAUGUUAAGUUUGUUUUUUUCAAGUUUUUGUAACUUUGUAAUUUUCUUAUGUUUUCAAUGUUAAUGUUAUAUGUUUUAUUUUAAUUAAAACUUUAAUAUGUUUUUACUUAUUAAUUUAAAUUAUUAAUAUUUUAAAUUUAAAAUAUUAUUAUUUUAUUCAUGGGACCAAUUGUGAGGGACACCAAUGCUCAUACCAAACUUAAGAAACUCUGAAAAUAAUCUUAUUAUAUUUGAGGGACCAAAAUGUGUCGACACAUAUUAAUCAGUAAUUCGUGGGAAAUAUAGGUUUGCAAUAAAUUUCCAAUAGAACAUACAUUUGUUGGAAUAUGAUCGUUGGAAACCAGUAUUUGUCGAGAAUUUGUUAGAAAUAUUUCCGUCAAAUACUUUUUGUUAGUAAUCUGUUAAAACUUUCUGAUGAAUUAUUUGUUGGAAUUAUGUUGGAAUUUAGUUGGAAUUUAGCGUAGAGUUUCCAACGAAUUGUUGUUCCAUCAAAUAUAUUGUUAGAAUGUUAUCACUAGUUUGCGACAAAUAUUCAACAAAUCAGAUAGUUAAUUUGUUAAAAAUUACUCAUAAUAUAUUUGUGGGAAAUUUCUUGAUAAAUUUUAUUGAAAAAUAAUUUUAAAAUAAUAUAUUGUAAUAAAUAUUUGAUUUAUAUAAAUAUUAUAAAUAAAUUAUUAUAUAAAUUUUAAUUUUGAUUACAUUUAUUAAUUAGACAAAUAUAAAAAUAUUUAUAUUUGGUAAUUUAAAGAUUUAUUAAAAUCUGAAAUAUCCUUAUUGGAUACUUCUGAAUUUUCUCAAAUAUUACUGUUGCUAUAACUGGAUAACAAAUGAUUUUACAAAAUAUGAAGACAUAAUACUAAUAUAUAUAGCAAAUAUAUAUUGCUUCUUUAUCCCUUUCUUUCGAUGUGGGAUGUGGGAGGUGGGAGAUGUCUACGUGCAUCAGUGCAUGUCUUAUUAGACAUGCUAUUAUUAUGUUCUCAACUUAUAUUGGUUUGGCUAAUUAAUAUUUUAGCCAGUUAGUGUUAAUUAUUACAAAUUUUAUUGAUGAAAAUUAGUUUUAUUUAAUAGCAAAUGAUUUAACUAAUUCAAAUUAAGAUAAGAUAAUAUUAUUAUUUGUCACAAAAUCAUCAGAAAUAUUUUCCAACAAAUAUUUUGUUAGUAAUUUCCAACAACUUAAAAGUUAUUGCUUCUAUCCAACAAUAUAUAAUAUUUGUUGGAAAAUUCCAAUAAUAUUCAUACAAAUUAUACAACGUAAUUACCACAACUAAAAUUUGUUGGAAAUUUGUAAUGAAUUUCCAACGAUAUAAUAUUUGUUGGAGAUUUUCAACGAUUCUCCUACAAAGUAUGCGAUGUAAUUGUCACAAUUAUAAUUUGUUGCAAAUUUGCACUGAAUUUCCAACAAUCUAGUAUUUGUUGGAAAAUUUCCACAAUUUUCCUAUAAAUUAUGUGAUGUACUUGCCACAACUUAAAUUUGUUGGAAAUUUACAAUAGAUUUCUAACAAAUAUAAUAAUAAAGGUAAUUUUAUGGGAUAUUCAUUGGAAAUUUCCAACAAAAUCCGAUUGUUAGAAACAUUUGUUGGAAUAUGCCAUGUUUUCUAGUAGUGGUCCUACACCAUUGCUCAUGGUCUAAGGAUAAAUCAAUUGGAGCUCUAGAGAUAAGAGUGGUGCAAAAUCGAACGUUCGAUGAGCUUAUGGAUUUUUUCGUCUCUCGAGGUGGCUCCAUUACUCAAUACAAGACACCCGUGUGCAUAAAAUCUAUUGAGGCUUUAGCGGUUCUCGAAAAGAAGGUUCUUGCUCGGUUCUUCAGCGAGAAAUCUCCUCCUAUGAACACUUCACCUUCGAACGGGAGCUCAACUUAACUAGCCUAUAUAUGCCUUAUGCAUUGCAAUAAAAAAAUGGUGUGAAACAUGAGUAUACCAAGUCACUUGCCUUGUGGGCUGCGUACUUUUAUCGUUGAGAAUUUUACAAUAUAAUUAUGAUGCUUGUAUUUUCUAAAUUGUGUUUUCUGUAAUUUAUAUUUUAAAUUCUUAAAAUACUUGUUUAUCAUAAAACAUAGGUGUAAAAAAUAAAGUAAAAUAAAAAAAAAUCUUUAAACAUAGGUUUAUGUUUGAACUAUUCUUUUUCCCUUUGGUCCAUUGUUUUUGAGUUGUCUGACAUGACCUCGGCUCGGUUUUGCAUAAGAGAGUCUUCUAGAUAUGGGCAGAUGUUUUGUUGCACGGGACACCAGUGUUUGAACAGAAUCGGAGAUUGCUCCUAACAAAGCACUAUAGACAAGUUUAUCUUGUCUCUACUCUUUACCAAUAGGUGUAGUCCGAAUCAACAGAUGCGACUCCGUUAGUUGUGAAUGUAGGAGGAUGGAUUUGAGUGGAUCAAUCCAAGAAAAAAGCAAGCUCAUAGCCAUCAAAGAGAGCAUGAACGUAUUUAUUAAUACAUACAUACGUGUAUAAUUUGAUGACAUGUUAAUCCCCUUCUUUACAUGUAGGCUCCGUUCUAAAAAUCUUCGCCUAGUCCGAUUACUCCCCAUUUAAUCGCUAGGUCCACCCUAUCCGCCUCGAUUAAUGAUGAAUCCCCUAAAAAAAUCAGUUACCCGAUUACUCUCCGUCUAAUCCGAUUACUUUCCGCCUAAUCCGAUUACUCCCUGCCUAAUCUUACAUAUCCCGAUUAUUUUUAGAUUCCAAGUAUAAAAAAACUUUUAUUUUUGUUAUUCAAUCAUUUAAAUUGGGAGUUUGUGAUGUUUUACAAUAACUUAUGUUCAAACUUUAAUAAAAAUCAUAAAUUUUAAUAAAAUUCAUAAAAAUUUGCCUCAAAAAUAUAGUUUUAUCUUUUUACUGCAAUUAUGAAAAUAAUAUUAGAUUAAUAUAUUUUUAAAAUAUUAAAAUAACCCUAAAACUAAUCCCUGAUUAAUCUCUGAUUUUAAUCCGAUUUUCUGAUUAAUUGCUAGGUCCAUACCGAACGCCCGAGUAGCGCUUAGCCUCUAGCGAUUUUUCAAACAAGGCAUGUAGGUAAGAGGACUUUUUCGGUUCUGUUUCAAAGACGAAUACAUAACCGGCCAAACAAGAUCCCUUUCAUGGUUCGAUUCUCCGGUCCCCUCCGGUUUUAAAAAUGAUGGGCUAAUAAACAAGUCAAAGACUCAAAAAAAGUUGUUAGUUAAAAGUGUGCGUCGAAUCUAUUGCAAUAAAUAAUAGCUGCUCGCUUCUUCUUCUUCUCAUCCCCAAAACCAAAAAAAAAAGCUUCAAUUUGGAUCAAUCCCGAAGAACACGAACAUAGAAAAUCUCAAUUAGAUUAACAAAACCCUUCUCAAAACCAGUUCUCUAUGUCAGGUCGGUCUUGUUCUCUUCCAUCUUUUGAUUCUGUCACUAAAUCAUAUCAAGUUUUGAUUUUUCGACAUACCCAGAUUGUGAAUUAUAUGUCAGAUUAUGUUUUAAGGUUUUCGAAGUUAUGGGUAGUUCUUAAAAAUGGUUUUUGUUGAAGCUUUGGUUAGGGUUUUAAAACCUGAAUUUGUGAACUUUUAUGUGAAUUGUACCAAGCCCUUGUUAAAGAAUGUAUUUUUACAGGUAAUCAAGAACCAAUCUUGGUGAAAGAAGAGAGUGUGGUAGGUAUACCAACACCACUCUUGAAGCUUAAAAGUUGGCAAUGGUGGGUUCUUGUGUCUAUUAACAUCUUUUUCCUUAUUGGUGGUCAAGCUGCUUCGGUUCUUCUCGGUCGGUUUUACUAUGAUCAAGGUGGAAACAGUAAAUGGAUGGCUACUCUUGUUCAAACCUCUGCUUUUCCUAUCCUCUAUAUCCCGCUUUUGCUACUUCCGUCUUCUUCGAGUAGUGCCGAGUCUUCAGAGACUUCUUGUUCACUCAAGUACAUUGUUUUGAUCUAUGUUUUGCUUGGUGUGAUCAUUGCUGGUGACAACAUGUUGUACUCUGUUGGACUUUUGUACCUCUCUGCUUCGACUUAUUCGCUCAUUUGCGCUACUCAGUUAGCUUUCAACGCGGUGUUCUCUUAUUUCAUCAAUGCUCAGAAGUUCACUGCUUUGAUUCUCAACUCUGUUGUUCUCCUGUCGUUUUCCGCUGCUUUGAUUGCCCUCAAUGAUGAUGCAGAUACUCCUUCUGGUGUCUCCAGGUCUAAGUAUAUUGUUGGGUUUGUGUGUACACUUGCUGCGUCUGCUCUCUAUUCUCUGUUGCUAUCUCUUAUGCAGUUCUCGUUCGAGAAGAUUCUGAAGAGAGAGACGUUUUCUGUGGUUCUUGAAAUGCAAAUUUACACUUCUUUAGUGGCGACUUGUGUCUCGGUUAUCGGGCUUUUUGCUAGCGGGGAAUGGAGAACGCUGCACGGGGAAAUGGAAGGUUAUCACAAAGGGCAAGCGUCUUAUGUACUGACUUUGGUCUGGACAGCGGUUACAUGGCAAGUGUGUUCUGUAGGAGUGGUGGGUUUGAUAUUUCUGGUGACAUCACUCUUCUCAAACGUCAUUAGUACGCUCUCUCUAGCUGUGACUCCACUAGCAGCUUUGGUUGUGUUCCGUGAUAAAAUGAGUGGCGUUAAGAUUAUGGCAAUGCUGAUCGCUCUUUGGGGUUUCGCUUCUUAUGUUUACCAGAAUCAUAUAGAUGACUUGAAAGUUAGACGAGCACGACAACAAGCUCAAGCCGGGCGGGUGGAACCUCCUUGUUGAUUCUGCAAUAAUACAGGCAGAAAUAUUGGUUUAGGAUGCUAUACGUUCUGAUUUAGAUAAGCAACAAUAAUUGUCACUGGUAUGACAAGCUACUUGUCUUGUCAUAUUGUUUUUCUAAUAUACUGGUAGUAAAUGGAAACUCGUGACAAAAUUUUGCGAGAAUGAGAAUUCGGAAACGAAGUUUGUUAUCUCAUUUAUUUCUGUUUGAAAUUCAGAACUAGAGUUCUUGAAUGAAAAAUGUUUGUCUCAGUCAAGUAGUACUAUAACUUAAGCUUUGAGCUCUUGAAUUGAUAACCAACAUAUCCCUUUUUGCUAGGUGUAAUCUGUUGAACCUUGGAUUUGGUUUUCUUUCGUUUUUACAUUUUGUAGCGGUUCUUCCAUGUCAACUUAGUCACAACCUCUCCAUUUAGCGAGUUGCUAAACCACAUCUCUAGACAAGUGCUCGAGUCAUGACUUCACCGUCUCUUUUCUAGAAUGCGAAAAAGGCGAAAAUGCGUUGUGCACCUCACGCAUCAUGAGUGGGCUUCUAUUACUCUGUAACAAUAGAGCAGGAUAUCAAGAAUUCCUCCGGCAAUUCCUUGGACAUUGCUUAAUUUCUUCGACUAUUCUAUCUAAAUUCUGAAAUCUAGUUUAAAUCCAUUCCCAAUAUAGUCCAUAUGGGUAAAAGUCUUAUGAGUUGAUUAAUGUGUCACUUAUUUUAACUUGGGAAUUGUCUUUAAGUUAAGUUUGACUUUGUAACUUACAUCAAUAAAAUGAUUUUGUACUUUAGGGUAAUGUAUAAAACAAAUUUUCUUGAAACUUACACUUUAUUGUUUUUAGUAAAAUGUUAUGCGUUACACUGGAAACGUUUAAGAAAAAAAAAACCACUCUCAUAGAAACCAAAACGAAAUUUUUUAUAUGGGACAAGAAUUUAUAAACACAUAUUUUAACUUAGAAACUAAUUUCCAAAUAGUGAAAACAAGAACUCCGUUUCGAAACAAGAUUUGAAACUUGGUCAAGAUUGACAUAUAAGACAAGUUAUGUUAACAUAAGACAACAAGGAGACUACAUAGAGUUUAUUAAACUACAAUAAACACAUAGAAUUAACACAAUUUAUCUAAUAAGAUUAGAAUUGUGAUUAGGCCAAGAGCCAGAAAUUCUUCUGCCAUCGUGUAUUGAUCAAGUACCCACCAACACCUUUGCAUUGUUUCCUCACACCAAUCGUCAAACAAUCUGCACCGUUGAUGCACCGAUUCACGAGCUCCUCUGAUCUACUAGGUCCACAUAAGCUACACAAACGACAACAAAAAAUGUUAAGUAAUUAUUGAUCAUGAUGGGGAAAAGAAAUCUGACGGUUGAGAUGACGCACCAAGCGAUGAGUGGUGCAGAUUUCUUCUGACCCAACACAAGAACAGAGACUUCAAGUUUCUUUACUUGGCUUAACACUGUUGCUAGCUUUGGUCCUUGAAUCACCAAUGCCUCCACAUCCACCUUUUUAGAAGAAAAAAAUUGACAUAUUAUAAUUGUCUUAUUAAUUUAUCCUAAAUCAUUGAAUCUUUUUAAAGAUGUCACAUUUCUUGAUGCAAAAAAUGUAGUACUAACUUCUCCAAAGUAAUAUACUAAAACUCACAAGGAAUUUUGCAAGUAAUUAAUUACAAUUAAAAAAUGGUGAAUUAUAAUAUCAGAAGAAUUACACGUAAGUUUACUUAGAACUUAUAAAACUUACAAAAACUCUACCUGAUUACAUGUUACUAUGUUCAUUGUUAGUUGUCUUUGAAAAACUUUCCAUUUCAAAAUGCUAAUUAAAGUAACUCUUAAAUGGGUAAGGACAGCUUUCAAGUAACAAAAAAUAUAUGUUACCAACUAUACUUUAGAUCUAAUUAGUAGUUUUUAAAACAUUAGAUCUAAACUAAGAAAAAAAAAAGCUGCAUUUCUUACUGAAUAAAGCUUACUUUACAGAAUGAAUAAUGAUGAAAGUAUUUUCUAAAUCCAAAAUAAUUUCUUUUUUCUUACAAACAAAAAAAAGUGAAGAGCCAUCAGUCAUCACUAUGAGUCUAUGACCAUCACAUAGACAGAUUCUCUCACGCAUGCACUACUCCAAUACUCAAGUACUUCAACACAACUUUACAUUAACCAAAUACAACAACCAAAUUAAAACCUAAAUGUGAGAUUAUUACUUCUCUAACUAAUAGUUUCCAAAAGCCAAACAUAAAAAUAGCAAUAAGCUUAAUUAUAACCUUAAUAAGCCCUCUCUUUUUUAGAAUAAUAGUAAGCUUAAUUUUUUUUUGGUUGAUUAAUUAUAAGCUUAAUUAGUACCUCAGGUUUACAAGCUUUGCAAAGAGAACCAAGAGAUUGAGCCAAAGAAGGAGAAGCUUCAUCAUGAGGAGAGACAACAUGAAGAAGAGUCAUCAAAUCUCCUUUGUUAGUUAAAUGAGUCAAAGCCCACAUCAUAGCAUGCUUAGACCUCGAAGUCUCAUCAACCACAACCAUCACUCUCUUACUUCUCGCCGCCGUAUCACCACCGGAGUAAACCCCAUAAAGACCCUCCAUUGAGGAGUAGCCACCACCACAAUCACCACCGUUUGUGUCGUCGUUGAAGGCUGUUGAGCUAUCUCCGGAAGUCCACCUUUUAGAAGCCGAUCUCCAACCUUCUUUUCUGCUUAGUUGCCUAAGGAUCGAGUUUCUUGAAAAUUGCAUUUUUGGAGAGUUUGGUGAUGGGAGCUCGAAGCUUUUUGUAGUGAAUGAAGGGAGAGAGAAGAAGAAGUAGGUAGUAGCCUAGUAGGAGACUAUAGUAGAGAGACUAGAGAGAGAGAAAGUGAAGAGGCUUUGGUGUAAAACUCGAAAAUGUGAAAAUGGAAAGAGAAGAGUGAGAGAGAUUUAAUUGGUAGCUAAUAAAGAGUGAGCGACAGGGCAUUAAGGGUGAAUCAUGUGCCCACAAUAAAGUGUGUUAUUUAAUUGCUAAACUUUAAGCAACCAACAUUUUUUUUUUAAAUAAAAAUUUAGUUUGGUUUAGUUUAGUUCUGUUUAUUAGUAUUUGGAAUUGGAAUUUACAAUUCUAAAAUGUCAAUUUAAGCAAACCGAAUUAAAAUUCUUAGUUAGAAGAUUUUGGAUUCGUUUGGUUUAUUUGGGCUAAAAAGUACUAGUACUAGUUAGAAAUCUAGAGAAUAGGCUUUUCUUCAAAAUAGUUUUCAAAGUUUGUCAUUUUGUAUUCACCAUUUCAACAAUGUCACUCUUUUGCCAAAACAUUUAAUAAUGGAGCACAACUAUUAUGAAAUAUAGUCAAUGCAAAUGGUGGGACUUCAUAUUUAGUCAAUUUUGUAAUGAAUAAUGAUUUUACGACGAUAACGGUUAGGUUUUAAACUUGGCUUUCUUAAAUUCUUUGCAUGUAUGAAUACGAUUAAUCUGGAGCUGAAAUUGGAAGCAAUUACUGAAUUACACAUGAAGACUUUUACAAGUUUCCUUAUUUUUUAAGGGUACGUCUCGAUGAGUCAUUCACAAUUUCACUAAGACUUUCAACACGUUACAUACUUACAUAGAGUUGAUAUCGAUUCUAUCUUUUGACCUUAUAGAUAGAAAUUACAACAAAAUUGGAGGCAAGGAAGAAGAAGAAUUGUUCGAAUAAGAAUAUUUUGCUUCGACUCUGUUUUGAUGCUUAUUACUGUUUUAGUACUUAUUUGUAGUUUCGACUAUUUUAUGGCUUUAUGUUCACUUUCUAUUUUUGGUAACGUGAGAUUCGGUCUAAUCACUUAACUUAAACCAAUCUAAUUAAAUUCAUAUAUCAACUAUGGACUACCUUGAAACCUACGAUUAGCGGUCGCGACUCUACCCUAAAAACUCACCUGAUCCUUUGAUAUGGUGAUACAUUAGUCCUUAAAUUAUUUUAGAAAGUAUUUUUUAUUAAAAAAUAUAUUACGAUAUUCGUGAAUCAAAAAAGCCAUGUUGCAUUCUACACAAGGGAGGUCGGUGGUGCCAAAAUUAUCUUGUAGGGUUUGCUUGGUUGGCAGGCUCUCUCAUCAUGGACUUCUUUUGUGUCCUAGUUACAUUUUUUUCUGGGAUGCACUUUAGAUUUAUUGGAUUACCCUAAUUAAUCUUUUUUAUUGGAAAAAUAACUCAUAAUAAUAUAUUCACACAAAAAUAAGAAAAAAAAAAACAAUCAUGGUGUUGGUGAAGCAGAUCAGAUCAUCUUGGUCUAAAGAUUUUAAAGACCAAAAAAAAAUGGUAACAAAGUUUCAAAAUUUAAAUCAUCAGAUUUUUUAUAUAUAAUUAAAGAGAACCUCCCAGCCAUAUAAGCUUUUAUAUAACGAAAUUGUCAUAUCUCUUGUUUUUUGUUUUGAAAAUGGAAUUUAGAGAAAAUAUCUACAUUGUGAAAUCACAUUAUUUUCUUGUAUGUCUCAAGACUGUUUACAUUGAUUGAUUUGGCCAUUUGGGGUUGAAGAGAACCACACUACUAUAUCACACGAACUCGUUAAUUAUCCGAUUUUUCCACUCGUUAAAUGUUGUUGACCGGUAGCUUUGCAUGUUGCCACAAUACCACUCAAAAAGUGAAUCAACACGAGCUUAUUCAUUUUUUAAUUAUAAAGAACACGGGUUUGUUCAUGCAAAGCUUUAAUUAUAUAAAUUGGAAAUUUGAUCACAUAUCAAAUCAUACAUGAAUACACCAAUACACUAAGUCAUAUCAAUAGUAUAGGGUGGUCCAGAAAAUGAGAAGAAAGGAUCUUAUCUCUUACCCCAUUAAACGUAUCUCGGUUACUUUAUACGUACGUAAAUUUAUGGGUUUCAUAUAUGUGUCAGAUUACCUCAUUCACAUUUUGCUUUCAUAUCUUCCUUUGUCCUCUUCUCCCAUUUCAUCCUCCCACACUUGUAUUUUUCCUUUGGACUUUUUUGCUUUUUGUUUUUUCCUCACAUUUCUAGUGUUUCAACAAGCUAAUCAUACACAUAAAAAUAAGAUCGAAGGGCUCCAAGAUUAGUGCAUUUCAUAACCUCAAUUUAGUGCAACAAACAAGGGCCUCCAUGUAUGUAUAAAUAUGAACAUCAUGAUGGUAACAUACUAACAUCCUUUGAUAAAACAUUGUUUUAAGGUUUAGAUAUAUAAGCAAACAGUUUCUAUUUCCUAUGCAUUUUUACAAGCCAUGAAAAUACAAAACUAUUUUAUUCCAACCACUAUGAAGAGAGUUGCAUAUUUUAUGUCUAAAAUAGGACAACAUUAAAGGUACUCGAAUAAUGUAAUAUUUCAAACAUGUUGACCAAUGAGAUGGUCAAAUAAUAAAUCCAAUUCAAACACGCAGACUUUUAUGAUACUACUAACCCAUGUGUUUUCUUCUAAAUUACUUCAUAACGAUUAAUAAAAUGUUUGGCCAGUCUCUUCAUUAAACAUUAAACAAGACUAAUAGAGUAAAACUUUAUUAUAGUAAUAUGACGUAUGUGACAUGUUAAGGGUAAAAUAUAGGAAGUGAAAAGAAUAGGAAAAUAAUUAUCAAAUACAGAUUUGGAAACUGGUGAAAGGGUAAAUAAAUUUUUUGUGUAUAAAUUACAGAAUUGUUUGCUUCUGCAUCUUCCUUCAUUCACUUGUCAGCUUAAAGAAUCAUUUAUCCUGACACAACUUCCUACCACAAAAAUUUUCCAAUUUAAUUUCAUACUAACAUUAUAAAACUGCUUAUGAAAAAACAUAAAUGUAUUUAUAAUUGCUUAUUCUAUUCUCUCGAAUUAUGUUAUUACUUUUUUAGAGUGCAAAGAUAACUUUGCCAGUUACUUUUUUAGGUGUUGAAAUUGUCAGAACCUUUUACAUUUUUUUUUUUUUUUACAUAUGAAUAGAAUUUUCAGAGAUUUUAUAGAUAUCUUAAGAGCUUAAUUUAUUUUUUCCAUAGAAUUGUGAUGUAGUACUUUUACUCAAUUAAAUAUCGAACCAUAAUUUGCAAUUGAUCAACUCACUAGGAAUACACGCAAAAGCUUAAUCUAGGCUAAUAAGAUGAUUUUGUUUCGUAAACUUGACUAACAAAAUAAAUAACAAACCAACAAUGCAAAACAAGACAAAUGGAAACAAAAUGCAAAAGACUAACAAGUUUCGAAAGUAAACAAAGCGGAAAAAUAAAAAAGUUACUAAGCGAUACUAAAAGCGAAUUCUCGGGUUAAAGGAAAUUGAUUGGAAUGAUAAAGAGAGCUUCAAACAACUUCUAAUAAGCUAUGAUCCUUAGGCCAUAGAACACUAAGCAACACUAACACAUUUCCAUGACAUUAGUCCAUUUACUAAUCAAUUAAUCAUCAACUUCUUCCAAAGGCAAUCAAUUGACUAACAAACAUUAUAAACAAGUCUAUCUAGCCACUAAACACCCUAGUCAACGAUUUCCAAAGGUAAGGUAUGUAAAGCACUUAAAGGUUUUGGUUCGGGAAUUUCAUCGAAAACCUUCCGGGCAUGAAAUUCCUAAAGUCUAAAUCAACAUGAUCAAGGCUAAUCUAGCUUUAUAAACAACCAAUAAGUAAGGAUCUUAAGUAAUCUAGCCCUAAACUCCAUAACCCAACAUCUAAACCAUCCUAAUCUACCUUAACCCAAGAACUCUAAAUGACUACUCACUCAUGAUCAUGAUUACACAAAGCAAUAAGUUUGAUCUUUGUGAAAUCAUAAUUAGAGACGGUAGAUAAGAGAUUUAAAAGAGAAAUUUGGAUUCAAAACUCAACAAAACCAAAGAUUCAUACAAAAACUUAGAAAGAAACCUUAAGAGAAGUUUUUGAUCUCUAAACAAAGCAUGACCCUAGAAAUUAGGUCUAAAAUCACUUAAAUAGAAGCCUAAAACGAACCGGGUCGACCCAUAACAGGCGGGUCGGAUCCGGUUUUCGAAUUCGGGUAAUAGAGAAAAUUGGCUCGCAACAGGAUACAUAAGCUGAUGCAGAUGGCUGAUGUAUCAACAGAAUAACUUGGAGUCUUCAAGAUAUCUCGCAUCAGGGUGCAUAUGUCGAUGCAUAUGGCUGAUGUAUCAACAGAAAGAAUUCAGGGUCUUCAGGACAUGUCGCAUCAGGGUGCAUAUGUCGACGUAGAAACCUGAUGCAUCUUCUUCUCCAUCUCUUCAUACUCCUCUAGUUCCUUUUUGCUUGAUUUACUUCUUUUUACCCCAUUAGUGCUCCAAUUGCCAUGAAAACUCCAAUAUCCACUCCAUGAACCUAGAAGUAAGAAAUGCAAUGCAAAUAUGCGCCUAAUAACCUAAACAUAAAUGCAAAAUGGUUAAAAACUAAGAGAAACAAAGCUAUAAAACUAACAAAAAUACAAGAUAUCAAAUUGAAUAAAUGAUACUAUAAAUUAAAUAUCAACUGUCCAAAAUUAAUGUCCAGCAAAAUAAUGUUAGCUCAACAUUCAUUUUUAAGUUAAAUUGUUUGUGUUGAUAUUGUAUCGAUAUAGAAAAUUAGAAAGUACGAAACAUAUAUAUGAAAGUAAUUAGCUCAAUUCAUUGAAGGAGAUUACAUUAUCUCUACGAACUUAGAUCAAAUUUAAAACUACAUUUUACUUGAAGAAAAAUAUUUUGCUACGGCGAAUGCAACAUGUUAAUUAAGACCAUUUUGUGUCUAAAGAAAGUAUACCAAUGAAAGUAGCAGAACUUGUACUUUUAGGUAAAUAAUUUUUUUAGUAGAACUUGUAUAUAAUUACUGUAAUUAGGAUAAUAAAAUCAUCAUAUUAAUGUUGUUUAGAGGACUAAAUAAAGUAUCAAUUAAAAGGUUGUGGAGUAUGUGGAGAACUCCUAUUAUUGACAUGGAGGAAAAUAAAUGAAGUACUCUAGUAACGUACAGAGGCUAUAAAUUUGGUUUUCGUCAACGUCAAUAAUUAUUUGUGCUGCUGUACGUUUCUACGUAUUAAUUAUAUUCCCUCUGUUCCUAAAAGUUUGAUGUUUUAGUGUUUUAGGUUUGUUCCACAAAGAUUGAUUUUCUGGAUUUUUUCUUUAUUUUUAAUUAAUUGAUAUUAAUAAAUCGUAGAUUCCAAGACGUAAUGAUUAACUGUUUCAGAAUACUAUUGGUUAAUGAUUUAUUAAGAAAUAAUUAAAUAAAAUAAAUAAUUAAACAAUGAUUGUUUUUUAAAAUAUGUGAAAUCUCUAGAAAAUCAAUCUUCUAGGAACAGAGGGAGUAUAUAAUUAUCGGUGAUGUGUAACUUGCGAGGUCCUCGUGAAUUGAGCCAUAUAACGUAAACUCUUUCCUUUUUUUUUCAUUUUUUUUUUCAUGAAAGUAUAAAUAUAGGAAGAUUACAACAUCUACUGCAAAUAUUGGGAUUAUAAAAGUUUUGGAAAUUAAGAGGAUGAACAAUACAUCUAAUCCCUGAAAACAACUAGUAAUAUUUUCAUAAACUAAUAAUCUCUCCGUUUUAAUUUAGUUAUCGUUUUAGGAUUUAAUUUAUUUUUUUAAUAAUCGUUGUCGUUGAAGGUUUUUAAUGCAGAUGUUUGGUAGAAAUUUCAGUUUUAUCUCUAUAGUUUUAAUGUUUUGACCAAUGAAAUUUAUAAAUUAUAUGUUAAUAAAGAUUAAAACAAAAAAUUUAAUAGUUUUUUUUAAUUUGUGUGAGAAAACUUUAAAUACCAACUAAAAAAAAAACGGAUGGAGUAUUUUCAUGAAAUUUUUGUUCUAACGGAAAUUAAUAGUUACUUUGUAAAACAUUUAUUUUUUUAAAUUAUUUUUAACACAAAAACAGAGUACAUUUAUAUUUAAUAUAUUUUAUAAUUGAUGACAUUAAGAAUAGGUUUGAGCAAAUGACUACUUUUAAAAGUGUCUUUGGGUUUUUGUUUGAUUCUUUGAAGUUAAAGUCACUUAAUGAAAGUGAAUUAAGAGAACAUUGCAUUAAUUUCCAAAAAACAUUUUCUCAUGGCAUUGCAUCUGAUAUUCUGAAUUGAAAGUUGUGCAAAUGUUUUUACUAGAUGUGCCAAUGACACCUAAUGAAGUGCUUGAAUUUGUUGAAAAUAUAGGGUGUUAUCCAAAUGUUUCAAUUGCUUAUCGACUUCUUUUAACUACACCCGUAACUGUAGCAUCGGCUGAGAGAAGCUUCUCAAAGUUGAAGCUAUUGAAAAAUUAUAUGAGAUCUUCAAUGUCUCAAGAAAGAUUGAACGGUUUAGCUAAUUUAUGUAUUGAAAAACAUAUGUUAGAAAGCAUGGAUUUUGAAAUUAUUAUUCAUGAUUUUGCAUCGACUGAACCUCGUAAAAACCGUUUUAUAUGAUCAUUUUCUUUUCUUUUUGGAAUGACUAUUGGAUUUUAUCUGUCAGAUUAAAAUGUUUUAUCGGAGAAGAGUGAAACAUGUUAGAGGAUGCAAACUUGGAAGAAGCUGAAAACAUGAAUAUUUUUUUUUAUCAGUGAUUUAGUGUGUUUUAGGAGACCGUUUUUGUAUCUCGUCCUAGAGGUUUUAAAACAUUUGAGCCGGGACUGAUUAAGAUGAGAAUGAGACCUCUAAUUAUAUAAACCAAAAACCGUUUCACAUAUAGUUUCUAUUCACAAUUUAAGGAUUUAUGUUUGAGAAAUUGCAUACCUAUAAUAUAAUUAAUUUAAUGUGAUCGUACUCAAAAAGUUUUUAUUAUAUUUUUAUGUCACAAAAUGGACAAUCAUUUAGAUUUUAGUCUAGUAUUAUAUCAUCUUAAAAGAAAGAAAAAGAAAAAAAAAGAAUAUAGAAAACGUCACGGAUUAUAUAGAUGUACAUAUACGAGAUACCUAAUAAAAAUUAGUUUUGGCGAAAAGUGUGAGAAUAGAAACGAAUUAAGGGUCGUGUAAUGGUAUUAGUCUUAUGUGUCAGCCUUUUCUUCAGCCCGUGAUGCUUGCUAGGAAUCUAACUCAUCAUUGUCACUCAUUUCUUAUUUAUUUUGUUUUAUUUUCUAUAUUUUCUAAAUACAAUUAAUGUAAUCUUUUCUUCUUUAAAUAAAAUACACUACAUAUUUUUCUUCUCUUUUUUUUUUUGAACAAACACAUAUUUUUCUUCUCUUAUGCGUUUAGAUUAUUAUGUAAAUGUUGAAGAGUGUAGAUAUUGUUGGUUUGCUCACCUUAACAUUUUCAUUAGGACGUUUCUAAUAUUAUUUUUUUGACGUUCUUAUGUUCGAAUGCUUUUGAAUCUUCUUUUUUUUUUUAAUACAAAAACAGUUUGGAUGGAGUUUUUUUUUUAUAUCUAAAUCUAUAUUUAAAAACUUACAAAAUUAAUUACUAAAACACCAAAAUUAUUUUUUUAACCACUUGUAAUAUUUUUGGCUAGAUUAAAUUUUUUGCAUUGAUGUAGCGAAAUUAAUAUUUUGCUUUGGAACAACAAAAAUAAUUGCGAAAUCGUUUUUUUACACUAGUAAUAAUUAGAUUUUUGAUUAUUGAAAUUUGAAAACAUUGGUUGAUACGAAUCCACUUUUCAGUUCUCUCAAAUCCUAUCUCACGCAAGUGUUUCUGGCGAAUAACCAGAGAAACAAUUGUUUGUUAGUGCUUCGUUUUUAUUCAGGUAUAUAGUGAUUGAUUGAUGUCAUAGAAAGUGCUAUUGGAUAUAGUUCUUGUGAUUACAUACUAAAAGAUUCGUCUUUGACAUCAAAUGCAAAUUGCUACUAUUUAGUGAGUCACAAACUCAUUCAAGAAGAAGAUUGAACUAAGAGUGCUUGGUUAACACUGGUUAAAUCUUAGUUACUCGGUUUAACUAAACCGUUUACAAUCAAACACUCUAAUACCAAAGAUGAGGCUCACUCUCCGGUCUCCAUGGCUCUUUUGCUGUAUCUAAACGGCUAAACCUCAAUAACAACAAUUAGCAUGUGAUAAGGCUUUGUGUGUAUACUACAUAACAUCGGGUUGCAAUCUUAAAGCUAAGUUUCCUGUCUAAAUUGACCAAAUCAUAAACUUUUCAACAGUGUUCUAAAAUACGGUUUGUACGGCCGUAUAUACGCUGUACGGUGGAAAGCCGUACUGUAUUAUAGCUAUACAAUUGUUUAAUACGGUGAAAGCUAUACGGUCCGCAUAUACGGCGAUUAUACGGCGUAUAUACGAUGAAAUUCGUAUAUACGACGCUUUUUUUUAAAAUACUUAAAAACAAAAACUAUGUCAUUUUAUUAAUGUGGAGAAAAAUGAUUUUAACAAAAUUAUUAGUUUGGCUCUCAAAAAAUUAAUCAUAAUAAUUAAUUAUAAAAUAACUUAAUUAUCAUUCUUUUCUAUUAUUUUUAUGCUUAUUAGUUAUUUGAAAUUUUAAAAAUAUUUUGUAAAGUUGAAAAUUUGAAAUUUUUUUUAUUCAUGUAUAGUAUUCAUUUUGUUACUAUAUUUAUGUUUUAUUGUUAUUAUAUAUAUAUAUAUAUAUAUAUAUAUUUAAUUAAAAAUAUCCACCAUAUAGUCCGCAUAAACGGCCGUAUAUACAUCUAUACGCUAUAUGGUACUCCACCGUACGCCUAGCGUAUAGCGUAUUUUAGAACACUUCUUUUCAAUGACUCGGGUCUCCUUCGCAUUUAAUAGAUAGUUAAAUGUAGGCCUGGGCAUUCGGAUUUCAAAUCGGAUUCGGAUCGGAUAUAUUCGGAUUCGGAUAAUUCGGGUAUGAGAGUUUAUUAUCCGUUCGGAUUUUAUGAUUUUUCGGUUCGGUUUCGGUUCGGAUAUAUUCGGAUUCGGAUAAUUUGGGUAGGAGAAUUUAUUAUCCGUUCGGAUUUUAUGAGUCAUCGGUUCGGUUUCGGUUCGGAUAGGUGUCGGAUUCGGAUCGGUUUUUGGGAAAAAAAAAACUUAAAAAUAGUUCAAUGUUAAUAAAAAUUGGUUUAAUCUUACUAAAGUUUGGUUAAAUUUUGCAAAAAUAUGUAUAAUUUUAACAAAUAUAACUAAAAUUUUUCCGAAAUCUAGGAUAUUUAGGAUAUUUUUGUUAUUUGCUAUAAAAUUACAACUAAAUAUAACUAAUAUUUUUGGAUAUAUAAUUUUUAUUUCCGGUUUUCAGAUAUCCUUUCGGUUUUCGGUUCGGAUCGAGUUCGGUUCGGGUAAUUCGGAUAGGAAAAUUCAUUAUCCGUUCGGAUUUUGUGACUUUUCGGUUCGGAUUCGGUUCCGGAUUUUUCGGAUCGGUUUCGGAUUUCGGGUUUUAUGCCCAGGCCUAGUUAAAUGUACAAAACUAGCCACAAUGAUACUAUUAUGAGAUUUGACACAGAAUGAUUCUGAUCUCCAGACCUUUUCGAAUUUUCAGGUCUGUUUUCGAUCUAUGAUAAGUUGAGUAACUGCAAAGUUGGUUCAAUAUUCACAAAUUGUCUGCGUUUAUAAACGAGAAUCAAAGAACAAAUGUCGAAUUUGAAAUCAAUAUAAAAUACAACAUUGAUCAAACCCUAUUUACACUAUUUACACAAGCAAAGCUAGUAAUUUAGAAAAGAGUCUCGCACAGUAAAGACAAACCCAAAGAUAGUUGCAGAUCGUCUCCGCUUCCAUCACAUCAGAUAGACCUCUUAUACGUUUCAGAGAGCCCUAAGAACAACCUUGCUGGUCGCAUGAACACCCUUAGCAGCUAUCUUCAGCGCACCACGAGCUUGGUACAACCUGAAAGCAAACGCCAAAACACUACUUCACUCAAUCGAAAUAUUUGUUUUUCAACAUCUCGAGAUCAUUAGCAGAAAGCAGACAUACCCUCCAAAUGCAAGUCCCCAAGUGGACAGUGUGUAGAACAUUUUCCCAGCAUGCCAUAUAUCCACUACCUUCCCUACCUUGCUCAGAGCAGUAACUUCUUGGACCAAAACUGCAAAAUUAAGCCGGUCGAUAAGCCACGUAAACAAACUAGAAAUUACCGGUAAGAUUGGUGACACAAAGCUAAUAGUAACCCCGAGAAUACCGCUAAUUCUUCCCACUUUUGUGAUUAUUAACAACUAUAUAAAGCAGUAUACUCGGGGUUAUCAACCAAACUCUAUAUAAAAUACUCAAAGAUAUAUCAAGCUAAAUUCUAAACUUACGUUUCUGAAGCUCGUCAGGUUUGAGAUUCUGCAAUUGGAAAGUAAUAGCCAAGUGAAUAAGAGAUCUGAAGUAAGUGAAAAUCCGAAAUUGAAGCUAACGAUACGAAUACAAUACCUUAGCUUUGGGAUUUGACAUAAUACAUUUAGCCAAGAAGUGAGCAACAGCAUCAAUCACAUGUUCUUCAUUCACAACAAUGUAAUGAUCAUUAUCGAUCGCGCUUUGUUCCUCGACAUUACUAGGAACCAUAUCAUCAGUAACCAAAACCCACCAACUUGGCUCUUGAUGAUCCAUCUCUAUAAGAACUUCAACAGUUUUCACAUCAUCUUCUGAAACAAAUAAACCCAUCAACACAAUUUCUUCUAAACCUUCAAAAUCGAAUUUCAAAAUCAUCGUAAAAAUUCGAUAAACACACACCUGUUGGUUCCUUGAAUGGAAAUUGAUUUUGCGUUCCAUUAGAUAAAGCUUGUCUUAGUUUCUCUAAUCUAGCCAAGAAAUCUUUCGAAGUAACCAUUGAUACAAGCCGAGCAUAGAGCUGAUUUUGAAAUUUCAACAAAUUUGUUAACAAAUCCCAAAAAAAUUCGAUUGAAAUUGAAUUUGGUUUCAUGCUUACGUCGCUAGGGCAAUCAUGAGAUAACGCAGCAGAUUCAGCGAGAGUCUCAAAUAGCUUAAGAUUCGCUUCAAGCAAAGUCCUAAGACGACGAUUCUCUUGUCGAAGAGCUUCUAAUUCACGAUCUCGUGGAUCGGUAAUCGGAUUCGUUGACUCGUGAUUCUCGUCAUGGUGGUGGUGGUGAUGAUGGUAGGUUUCCACGGCGGUCCAAGCCACGUCGGCUACUUCUAGCACCGUCUUCGUCACUUCGAUCGCGUGGUGGCUCGUCAUGGUUUUUGAUCUUCUUCUUCUUCUUCGCCGUAUCUGGAUAUGAUAAAUUCUGAUUUACGGAUUUUUCCAAGGAAACUACUUGUCGUUUGCGUGUUUGGAAACGACAAGCAAGCUUUAUAUAUUAAUUACAUUAAUACUUUUUUAGUUUCUUAUUGCCAAAUACGCCCUUCUAUACUAAGGUAUUUCAGAUUUCUACCAUACUAUUAGACUUCUUGACGUUUUUGUUUUUCUUUGGUAACGUCUUGCCGUUUUAAGUUUUGUUUUGGAUAAAGCUUGCCGUUUUCUUUUCUCGCUGAGGUUUUACAUUAUCGAGGACAUUUCUAAUUCUAAGAGCAUGCACAUAGUUGAGUAUCAAUAACAAUUUUUUAGUAUUAAUUAUAAUAUUUAUUUAUUGUUUGAGAUUUUUUAUGAUACUGGUACUAAAUAUGUUUCUAUUGGUGAGACUGGUUUAAGUAUCAUAAAAAAAAAAAUUAUUUGCAAAAUCGAAAAUAAAUAUAUAAAAACAUAAGAUUACAAAAGGUAAUAUUACAAUAAAUAAAAAUGUAGAAUAUACUUAAGCAAAAAAAAAAACUCUGAAAGAAGCCUAAUAUAACAAUUAAAUAAUAAAUUCUUUAAAAUCACUCAAAUUUUCUUUUUAGAAUGACAAUCAUGCAUGUAUUGUAGAUUUGAACAUCAAGUAAAACAUAUAUAUUAAGUUAAGAAACUUGCUGGUACUAAGAUAGUCUUGUCUCUAAUCUUGUGUUUAUGAAGAUGACAUGAUCUACUCUGUUUAUUUUUGCUUGCUUUCAUUAAACAGUUUUGUUUAUGUAUCGAAUGCUCUGCUUUUGGAUUUUGGUGCAUCUCCGAUGUCCAUAAACACAUUAAGGAUGCUAUAGAACAUUUAUUUCUUAUUGGAAAUAUUAUAACAAGUUUUGCAUAUUACAUUAUACCAACAUAUAUAAAGAACAAAAUAUUUGAAAAACAGACACAAAGAAACAAAAGCACAAACUCAUAUCUCAAACUCUCUCCCCUUUCCAUCUUCAUCUUUCUUCUUUCAGAGUCUUGAGACAUUGAUAGGGUAGAAAAGGGCAGCAACAAGCCCCUUAUUUUGUUUAUUCAUAAUCAUAUUGACAAGAGUUUAACAUAAAAAAGGAGACAAAGCCACCAGGAAGAUGUAGAGAUAUUAGGAUAUUACUGACUCAAGAAAGUAGGCAGAGAGAUACCUGCAAACACCGAACAUAUCGUUUGGAGAAGCCUAAGUCACUGAGUGAAUGUGACUCCAAGCUUUUUGCUAGUUGACGUCCAGCAGUCAUGACCUUGGAGCAAAAGACUUGGCAUCAGCACAUCAAGAUUUAAGCUAAAAUCGCUUUGAUCUUCUUUGCAUCAAUGAAAAAAUCUUACCUAAUUACCGUAGAAGAUACAAGACGGCUCAUACACUAUCCCAUAAAUUUUGUCAACCAUCUCUACACAAACCAAAUGAACUCUCUACACAUCAGUUACAAUAAACAAUAAAGUAAACACACACAUAGUAAAAGGAUCCGUUCCGGCAGAUAAAUCGAAAUUUCAUUCAAUCAAUCAUACAAUGUAGCAUAAAUAUGUCACAAAAUCUAACUGCAAUGACAUUAUAAACUAAGAAAUGAAUCAAAUUUACCUCAAUUUCCUAUCAUCAACCAAGAGAAUCAAUCUAAUGUAUCAAUGUUCCAAUCAAUCUUAGAGAAAUAAUGAACUCACAGUUGCGACGACAUUGAUCUGAUGAGAUGAUUGCAACUCAUCGACAUCUAGACCUCCGCUAUUUUGAGGAACGUCACCAUCUCCGAUAUAAUUUUCAUCAGGCGACUGCUAGGAUCGAAGAGAUGAAGCCGGAGGAGAAACGGAGGGAGCGAAGGCAGGAUCGGGAAGGAAGAAUCGGCGGAGGAUAGGAGAAAUCGAAAAUCGCCGGAGGGUUUCUAGGUUUUCUCGCAGUGAGAGAAGAGAGGAGAAGAAUCGAGAAGGAAGUGAUUUUUUUUUUCUCGGCUUCAGCCAAAAACGCGUUUUUGCUCACCAAUAGAAUGCUGCCACGUCACCUGAUACUCAGUAUCAGAAGUAUCACUGUACUGAUACGUAUCAGGCCCAAAUUCAUGUUUUGAUCCAUUAAAUAAUAAUUAUUGGGCUCCUGAUACUCAAAUUAAUUCACCUAUGUGGAUGGUCUAACUGCUCUUUAGGAUUUUAAUCUCUUCAUCUUUUUUUCCUCCAAACAUAAUUCUAAAAACUCUUCACUAAUUGUUAUUAUUCUCUUUUCUGCUCAAUAUUUUUAAAAACUAAUUUUACCUUUCCUUUACUCUUAUGUAAAUUUUAUCACCAACAAACUAUUAGAAGCAACUAAGGUUGAACAAAAAAACUGGACCCGAUAUCUGAACCGUACUUAGACCGAAAAAAUCGGUUUGGAGCGGGUUAGGAUAUGAGAAAAUUAUUUCAUUGGAUAAAGUGUUGGUAUACCCGUCGGCAUCGGUCCAGGUUGAGAUUACCCAUUACCCAUACCGGAUACCCAUAAAUCCGAACAUAUAAUUAAAUACAAAAAUAUUAAUUAUAUUUAAUCUUAAUAUAAUCUAAUUAUCCAAAAUUUCAAUACUAAAUCUAAAUAUGUCAAUUAACUUUAUACCUAAAUACCCAAAACAACCAAACUAUCCAAAAAUUAUAUGUUAUGUUUGUCAAAAUUUAGCAAAAUGUAUACAAAUAUAACUAUAUUUAUUAAAAUUUAACAAAUUAAGGUUUUUUUUCGGGUACGCGAUAUUUUACGUACAAAAUACCCGAAUCGAAAGGAUACCAAUUUUUUUUGGGUAUUUAAUUAUAGGGUCUAAAUUUUUUUACCCAAACCGAUUGGUCCCGACCUGGACUGGAAUCGAAUGUUUAGAAUUACCAUAUUGGAUAGUAAACUCAAUACCCAUUAAAUCUGAAACCCGAACGGGUUACCCAUAGUCCCAUAUGCCCAGGCCUAGAAGCAACCAAUGACUUUGUCUCCCCCAUUCCACAAAAAAAAGCAACCAAUGAUAAUCAUUCUCUCUCUCUUCUCUCAUUAACAACAAUUUUUUUUUUCUUUUUGAGAUUUUGCAACCUCCAAACCCAUAUCUCCUCUUUUCUUCUUCUUCAUCCACCACUAAUUAAGGUAGUUUUAGUUUGUUUUUUUUCUUUCAUAUUCCCUAGAUUAGCAAUUUGACAAAAACUUCAUUAGAUAUAUCAUUAGUGUUGGUGUCAGAUCCCGCACCAGAAGUCCGGGACCAACCAAAGAUUGCCACGUAGACAGGAUAACGACCCAUAAAGGAUAAAGCCCAUUAGACCCACAAGUCAAAAGAACAGUCGGAGUGGUUGUCAACGUGAAGAGAGUCCGAAGUGACUGCACCUCGACACGAGUCCGGAGACGAAGUCAUGGUUAAGUCGGUCUUAAGGACAUUUGGGCCAAAAGGCGAGGCCCAUAAAAAUCAGAGUCAACUCAAAUUCAUACGUUGAGCAUUAAAGUCAAAGAUCAAAACGGACACAUUUAAGAGGGAAUAAUUGUACUUAAUUAUUCAUUUUAAUGUCGUUUCUCUAUGUAUAAAUAUAAAGGCCAAUGGCCAUGUAAAGGGGAUCUUCCUCUAGAGAAAGAGAUACUAUAGCAAUUUUCGUAGCAAUUCAUAAGUUUUUACAUAUUCAUUUUUGUCCCUCAAGAGUAAUCUUUCCUACUUAAUAAAAAUACUUGAGUGUGUGAAUCCGACAUCCACAUUUUGGCGCCGUCUGUGGGUACAGAGGAUUCUUGAGUGGUCAGAUUUUUUCUUUACUACAUUUCCGAGAUAAGCAACAAUGUCCGGAGGAGACGCCGUUGAGACAUCAUUGGCCGAAACCCUCAAAGCUAUGCAGCAAACCAUGUCGGACAUAUCACAAAAGUUCUCGGAUGUGGAAAAGGCCGUCGAUACGUUGCAAACGUCCCAGGUAUCUCUUAGUCAAAACGUCAAUACUAUACAAACUCGUGUUCGCUCUUUAAGUGCAGGAAAUCCUGUGGGAAUCCGAAGGAGGAUACUCAACUCGCCAAGCUCCGUUGCGCGAAAUGAAACCAGCGGAAAAACAACUCCUGGUGCUACUAAUAAUGUAGUUCAACCAUCGGAUGGAGAGGCACAGCUCGAAGAUGAAGUUCAACUUGCAGAUCAAUACGAGCAGGAAAACCUCGACCAGUUCGAGACCAUGAGGAAGGUUAGCCAAGAACUAAAAGAAAUGAAGUCAAAGUUCCAUCAAGCUACGAGUUCGGAGCCAGACAUCAAUCGAGUCAUUGAAGAAGCUAGGCGAACACCUUUCAUCUCGCGAAUUGCGAGUUUGAGAAUCAAAGAUUCUCGAAAACUCAAGUUGGACCCUUACAGCGGGUUGGAGGAUCCAAAGAGCUAUCUCGCAGCUUUUCUGAUCGCUGCUGGAAGAGUCGAAUUGGAUGAAGCUGAUGAGGAUGCAGGUUACUGCAAGCUUUUUUCGGAAAAUCUAUGCGGUCAAGCUUUAAUGUGGUUCACCCAAUUAGAGCCGGGUUUGAUCAGCAAUUUCGACGAGCUAUCUGCUGUAUUCUUAAAGCAAUAUUCCAUCCUUAUGGAUAAAAGCGUUUCGGAUGCCGAUCUUUGGAACUUAUCACAAGGAUCAAAUGAAUCACUUCGAGUUUUCAUCACCAAGUUCAAAGGAGUGCUGUCAAAGCUCCCAAGAAUCUCGCAACAAUCAGCUUUAUCUGCCUUACGAAAAGGAUUGCGACAUGAUUUGAGAUUUAAAGAAGAUUUAAUACUUCAUAAACCAGACAAAAUUCAGGAUGCACUCUUCCGCGCAAACAACUGGAUGGAGGUAGAGGACGAAAAAGAAAGUUUUGCCAAAAGAAAUAAGCAAGAGAAGCCGGCAAUCACCGUCCCUACCAAAAAGUUCGAACCCAGGGAGAACAAAGGACCAAAGAAAUUUGGGUCGCAACCCUUCAACAGUACCGUCGGAAAGCAAUUCCAAGGGAAAGGAAGAUCAAACACUUGGGUCCGUGAUGAAAGUCUAUAUUGUGACAUUCAUAAAGUAACCGGACAUUUAACCAAGGAUUGUAGCGUUCUUAAAAGACACCUCGCAGAGCUUUGGGCCAGUGGAGAUCUUUCCAAAUUCGAUAUAAAAGAUUUUGUGAAGGAAUACCACGAAGCAAAGGAAAGUUCCAAAGAUCAAAAUUCCAAAAGACCAAGGUUAACCAACGAGGAAGAACCAAGGAAUUGUAAGGGUAAGAUCAAUGUUAUUCUAGGAGGUUCCAAAUUUUGCGGAGAUUCGAUAAGUUCCAUCAAGAAACAUAGACGAAAUGUCCUACUCAAAGCAAGCUUAAGCGAAGAAGUCGAUUUUCAAGGUGCAUCAAUAUCAUUUAAUGAAGAAGAAACGCGGUACCUCGAAAGACCUCAUGAUGAUGCUCUAGUCAUUACCCUUGAUGUUGCCAACUUCGAAGUAUCAAGGAUCCUUAUAGAUACAGGCAGUUCGGUCGAUUUGAUCUUUUUAAGUACUUUAGAAAGAAUGGGAAUUAGUCGGGCGGACAUAGUGGGGCCUCCGUCUCCAUUAGUUGCAUUCACAAGUGAGUCAGCCAUGUCUCUCGGGACAAUCAAGCUACCGGUCCUUGCCAAAAAGGUAUCGAAGAUCGUGGACUUCGUUGUCUUCGAUAAGCCCGCAGCUUACAACAUCAUCCUCGGGACUCCCUGGAUUUAUCAAAUGAAAGCAGUCCCCUCUACAUAUCAUCAAUGUAUCAAAUUUCCAACAUCAAGAGGAGUGGAAACAAUUCGGGGAGAUCAAGAAGCUUCACGGACGUGUUAUCUAGCUAGCCACCGUAUGAAGAUUUAAUAGCAAUCAAUGAAGCCCGCAAAAGAGGGACUAAGAACAAAAUUUCCUAGCGGGCAGAAGAAAGACGAUGUAGUAAUCGAAGUGGUGUUGGAAGAAGACAAGCCGGACCGGAAAAUUCGAAUUGGGGCAACUUUGACUGGCCAAAUAAAAGAAGCUUUGAUUGAACUCUUAAGGAAAAAAAAAACAUCGUUUGCAUGGUCAGCAGCGGACAUGCCUGGCAUAAAUCCAAGUAUAAUUUGUCAUGAACUAAAUGUGGAUCCAAGCUUCAAACCGGUGAAACAAAAAAGAAGAAAGCUUGGAGUGGAGCGAGCAAAAAUAGUAAAUGACGAAGUGGAUAAACUUUUGAACAUAGGGUCCAUAAGAGAAGUGCAAUAUCCGGAAUGGGUAGCAAACACUGUCGUUGUCAAGAAGAAAAAUGGGAAAGAUAGGGUUUGCAUCGACUUCACAGACCUCAAUAAAGCAUGUCCCAAAGACAGUUUCCCGCUCCCACAUAUAGAUCGACUUGUAGAGUCCACCGCUGGGAACGAACUGUUAACAUUCAUGGACGCCUUCUCGGGUUAUAAUCAAAUAAUGAUGAACCCCGAAGACCAAGAAAAAACGUCAUUUAUCACUGAUAGGGGUAUCUAUUGUUACAAGGUAAUGCCUUUUGGUUUGAAAAAUGCAGGAGGAACUUAUCAACGGUUGGUUAACAAAAUGUUCCAUAAUCAUCUCGGGAAAACAAUGGAAGUCUACAUAGAUGAUAUGUUGGUUAAAUCGUUAAAGAAAGAGGAUCACGUUAAGCAUUUAGAGGAAUGUUUUGAUAUUCUCAAUAAAUAUCAAAUGAAGCUGAACCCGGCGAAGUGCACAUUUGGAGUCC
rnacentral:lncRNA from 1 species